UCAGCUCAGAACUGGUACGG
rnacentral:snRNA from 1 species